UACGAAGGGGGCUAGCGUUGCUCGGAAUCACUGGGCGUAAAGGGUGCGUAGGCGGGUUUUUAAGUCAGGGGCGAAAUCCUGGAGCUCAACUCCAGAACUGCCUUUGAUACUGAAGAUCUUGAGUCCGGGAGAGGUGAGUGGAACUGCGAGUGUAGUGGUGAAAUUCGUAGAUAUUCGCAAGAACACCAGUGGCGAAGGCGGCUCACUGGCCCGGUACUGACGCUGAGGCACGAAAGCGUGGGGAGCAAACAGG
rnacentral:rRNA from 1 species